rnacentral:rRNA from 1 species
CAGCCCUUGACAUGUCCCGUAUGAGUACCAGAGAUGGAACUCUUCAGUUCGGCUGGCGGGAACACAGGUGCUGCAUGGCUGUCGUCAGCUCGUGUCGUGAGAUGUUGGGUUAAGUCCCGCAACGAGCGCAACCCUCGCCCUUAGUUGCCAUCAUUUAGUUGGGCACUCUAAGGGGACUGCCGGUGAUAAGCCGCGAGGAAGGUGGGGAUGACGUCAAGUCCUCAUGGCCCUUACGGGCUGGGCUACACACGUGCUACAAUGGCGGUGACAGUGGGAUGCAGAGGGGUAACCCCGAGCAAAUCUCAAAAAGCCGUCUCAGUUCGGAUUGUGCUCUGCAACUCGAGCACAUGAAGUUGGAAUCGCUAGUAAUCGCAGAUCAGCACGCUGCGGUGAAUACGUUCCC